rnacentral:tRNA from 1 species
GAGAGUCUAGCUCAAUGGUAGAGUGCAUGCUUAGCAUGCAUGAGGUCCUGGGUUCAAUACCUAGUACCUCCA